UACGUAGGUGGCAAGCGUUGUCCGGAUUUACUGGGCGUAAAGAGCGCGCAGGCGGUCGUGCAAGUCGCGUGUGAAAGCCCCCGGCUCAACUGGGGAGGGUCACGCGAUACUGCUCGACUCGAAGGCAGGAGAGGUAAGCGGAAUUCCUGGUGUAGCGGUGAAAUGCGUAGAUAUCAGGAGGAACACCUGCGGUGUAGACGGCUUACUGGACGGUAACUGACGCUGAGGCACGAAAGCGUGGGUAGCAAACAGG
rnacentral:rRNA from 1 species